UAGGCAUGCUGGAGCCCUGCCAGCGGCGCCUGGGUCCGUAAGAGGCCCGACACCGGACGGGGCAGAA
rfam:Mesorhizobium huakuii 7653R genome.